GUAUUGAUGAAUAUUGGUAUUCUAUUCCAAGUAGUGCUUAGGCACAGAGCUGCACUGAAGACAAUAUUGAGGUUAUUUCACUUGGAAAAUUACCACACCCUUCAUUUGCAGCAGAGGCUAGGUUACUCUUACAUCUCUCCCACCUCACUUUCUCUUUUAGAUAUUCAUAUUCCCUACACUCCCACAUCCCUGGGUGGUAGUGAAGAGUUUUAAACACUUACAUAUAUUUUUUGUUUAUGGGAAAGCCUGUGUACAUUUGCUUCUUAAUACUUGCUACUUGAAUGCCUCUAGCUUCUUGAUUUACUCGUGUUUAAUCAUCAGGUUUGCACAUGGUCUUUAAGUGGUAUGGGAUUAAACAUUUUAUUGUACUCUUAAAUCCUGAGAAUUUUCUUCCAAUGUAAGUCACAUAAAGUCUCCAGAAGAGGUUUUUUAAAAUGUUUUAAAAACUUAUUCCUAUGGAGUAAAAUCUACAUUAUUGUUAUACAAUACUAUGAGUAUUUAUACUAAUACAGUUUCUUGUAACCAUCACCACAGAAAGGAUACAAAACAAUUUCAACGCUGUCAAAUAAUUCCAUCAUAAUGUCACCUGUCUAUUCUGACUCUGGUACCCCUUAUUUUUUUCUUUGUUCCUAUGUUUUAGUCUUCUCUCCAAUUUUAUAUAAAUAGAUGAUACAGUAUUGUAACCUUUGAGACUGGGUUAUUUCAUUUAGGAAAAUACAUUUUAGAUUCUUCCAAGUUGUUGCAUUUAUUAAGAAUUUGCCUUUUUAUGUUGCUGUAUAGAAUUUCAUCGUGCAGCUGUACUAACAAGUUUACGUAUCCAUUCAUGCAUUAAAGGACAUAUGGGUUAUAUCUAGUUUGCAGCAAUUAUAAAUAGGGCUGUUAUACACAUUCAAAUACAGGUGUUUGUGUAAAAAAAUAUUUUAUUUCUCUAGGAUAAAUACUUAGAGUGGGUUUUCUGGGUUGUAUAUUAAGUGUAUGUUUAAGGUUAUGAGAAACCACCAAAGAGUUUUCCCGUGUGACUGUGCUAUUUUACAUAGCCACCAGCAGUAUUUAAGGGUUCAUACUUCUUCCCAUUCUUUCUAGAACUUGGUCGUGUCAUUACUCUUUAUUAAACCAUUCUACUCGGUGUGUAAUAGUAUCUCAUUGUGCAUGUGAUUUGCAUUUCUGUAAUAACUAGUGAUAUUGAGCAUCUUUUCACAAGCUUAUUUGCCAUCCAUAUACCUUUUUUGAUGAGGUAUCUGUUAAAAUCUUCAGCCCAUUUUUUUAAAUUGGACUGUUUCUUUUUUAUUGUUCAGUUUUGUAAGUUCUUUAUAUAUUCUAUAUACAAGUCCUUUAUCUGAUAUGCAGUUUGCAAUUUCUUUUUCUAGUUUCUGACUGAUCUUUUUAUUUUAUUAAAAGUGUCCAUAACAGAGAAAAAAAUACUUUUCAUUUUGAUGAAUUCUAAUUUAUCAUUUUUUUCUUUUACGGAUUAUGAUUUUGGUAUUGUAUAUAAAAAUGCUUUCCUAACUCAGCAUCACAAAGAUUUUCUCUUUUGUUUUCAUCUAAGAGUUUUAUAGUUUUAUGUUUUAUAUUCAGUUUUAUUGUUUUACAUUUAUAUCAUUUUAAAUUUAAAUUUGAGUUAAUUUUUUAAUAUAGUGCAAGGUGUAGGUUGAUAAAUAAUUUUUUAAGUGGAUGCCAGUUGUUCCAGCAUCAUUUGUUGAAAAAGCUGCCCUUUCUCUAUUGAAUUGCCAUUGCAACUUUGUCAAAAAUCAGAUGAUAAUAUUGGAGUGGGUCUGUUUCUAGAAUAUCUUUCUAUUUCAUUGAUCUAUGUUUUUUUUAUGAUGAUCAUGGAAAAUAUUUAAUAGAUUUUUUUAUGUAGAUCAAUAUAAUUGAUCUACAUUAUAUUUUUAUGAAUAUACUGCCUUGACACUGUAGCUAUGUAGUGUAUCUUAGAGUUGAAUAUUGUGAGUCCUCCACAUCUGCUCUUCUUUCUUAGUCUUGUUGUAGCUAUACUAGUUCCUUUAGGUAUUCCACAUACAUAUUAGCAUAAAAUUUUCUAUAGGUACAAUGAACCCAUGCAUAAAUUUUGAUUCAGAUUGUGUUAAAUCCAUAUAUUGAUUGGAGAAAAAUUGCUAUUUCAAACUUACUGAGUUCAAUCCAUGAGUUUUGUAUAUUUCUUUCUUUAGGAUUUCUUUGGUAUGUUUCUUAAAUACUUUGUACUUUCUAGCAUACAGAUUCUGAACAAGUUUUGUUAAGUUUAUAUUUAAGUAUUUAAUUUUUUAGCUAUUAUACAUUUUUUAAAAACUUUGGUUUGAAAUUUUUCAUUGCUAGUGGAUAGAAAUACUACUGAUCUUUUUGCAGACUGAUAUGUAACCUAUGAUCUUGUUUAACUUGCUUGCUAGCUCUAGCGGUAUUUUUGGUAGACUUGUUGAGACUUUCUGUGUAAACAAUUAUGUUACAUGUGAAUAAAAACAGUUUUAUUACCUCCUUUCCAAUCUGAAUGCUUUUUUUGGUCUUUUUCUUGCCUUUUGGAACUGGCUAGAACUUGGGAUAGGAUGUUGAACAAGACUGGUAAGAGCAGACACCCUUGUCUUGAUCCUGAUCUUAGGGUAAAGGCAAGAAUGGUGCUAACUGUAGGUAUUUCUGUAAACACACACUUUAUCAAACUGAAUAAUUGUUUUUGUAUUUCUAAUUUGCUGAAGUGUUAUUUUUAAUUAUGAAUGAAUGUUGAAUUUUAUCAAAUGCUUUUUCUGCCUCUAUUAAUAGGAAUAUGUGAUUUUUCUUUUUAACAAUGUUACGUGAAUUACAUUAAAUAAUUUUCAGCUUUUGAACCAGUCGUGCAUUCCUGGGACAAACUUUAAGUGAUUGCAAUGAAUUACUGUUUUUAUACAUUGAUUCGUAUAAUUAAUAAUUAUUGUUAUUAUUAUUAAUCAAUAGUAAUUUUCCUUAUUCUGAAAUCUACUGUUUGUAGUAAUCAUAUAGCCAUUCUUUUCUUUGAAUCAUGUUUGAAUCAUAGAUCUUUUUUCAUUUUUUCAUUUUUAAUCUAUCUGUAUUAUGUUUCAUGUGGGUUUCUUGUAGACAGCACCUACUUAGUUCAUAUGGACAGCAUCUAUUUGUUUUUAUGUUUAUCCAAUCUGGCAAUCUCCAUCAUUUAGUGUUUUCAGAUAAUUUACAUUUAAUUAUUGAUAUAGUUAUAUAUCUGCCUACCAGUUUAUUAUUAUUCUUUUUGAUUCUUCUCUUUUUCAUUCUCUUAUUUCAUUCUCCCCCUUCUCUCUUUUAACUUAUUUUGGUUCUUUUUUUGUAGCUUUUAUUAAUUUGUGAGAACGUCUAUGAUUCCAUUCAUACCAAGAGUUUUUGCACAUUCUUCUUGGGCCAUGGUUAUUGCUUGGUUUUUAAUAUUCAUCUUUGACAGUUUUUUUUAUAAGAGUGUCAUUUCCACCUUACCCUAGGUCUUAUUAUGACCCAAUGAAAGCUAAUGGCAAUUUUUCCUACAUGAGUAGCCAGAUUCUCCAUAAAUGAAAGUUUAAAAAAUGAUUUUUCUCUACUUAAAAGGGAGGGAGGCAGCCGUCCUUCCUGAAGGCUCUUCUUAAAAACAUAAUGUCUUUAAUCAAAACUCUAAUUCUUUAAUAUAUAAGUAAAAUAGCCCCAGGAGCCAGACCGCCCUGUGCAUCUCCAGUUUUACAACAUAGAAAUGUUUCUAACUCCUGGGAAUUAAUCUCUUUUUAGCAGGUAAAUACCCAAGAAGAUAGUGAGCCAAUCUCCCCAGCUUCUUGGGAGUUUAUACUAGGGAUCUAGUCUGGACUAUACACAUUUGGCCUUGACAGAUAAAUUAAAGUUUUAUUAUCCUUUAAGAUCUGAGCAAUUCAUUAGGCAAAUCACUAUAGGUCUAAUUUUUCAGAUGUUUCAAGAGUCUCAGGAGGCUAGGGCUUUUAUAGGAGCACUGGUAAAUUUAGAGGUUUAUUUCUCCAUAGUUAUAAUAUUUAAGUUAAAUUUUCUGAUAAUUCUGAUAUUUAGGUAAUGUUGGGUUUGGUAUCUAGGGAUUGUCUUUUUUUCUUAAAAGAUGUUUAGAUUUUCCUGAUAAAUGUCUAUUUUAAAUCUUAUCCCGAGUAUUUUGAAUAUUACAUCAUGAGGUUCUGGAUCCUAUUUAAAUCUUCUGCAUUUCUGUUCUUGUGGCUAUUUAUUUUAGGAAGUGGUCAGCCCAGUUAGGAUCAGACUACAUAGCUUUACCCACUUUCUGUGGACUGUGGUUUCAAUGUUAAUUUGAUUUUCAAAGCUUUUGUCUAUUUGGAUAUUCUACAUAUAUACGAUCAGGUUGUUUGCAAACAAAUACAGUUUUAUAUCUUCUUUCUCAGUCUGUAUACCUUUUAUAUUCCUUUCUUGUCUUAUUGCACUACCUAGUUCAGUGUUGUCUUUCUUGCCUUGUUGCACUAGCCAGUAUGAUGUUGAAAAUAUAGUUGAGGGUGGACAUCCUUGCCUUGUUCCAGAUCUUAGUGGGAAAGUUUUGAAUUUCUCACCAUUGAGUAUGAUGUAAGCUCUAGGUUUGUUUGUAGAUGGUUCAUCACGAAAUUGUGGAAGUUCCCCUCUAUUCGUAGUAUACUUAAUAUUUUUAUCAUGAAUGGGUAUUGGAUUUUGUCAAAUGUUUUACUUUUUCUGCAUGUACUGAUAUGAUCAUGUAAUUUUUCUUCUUCAGCCUAUUGAUGCGAUGGAUUACUUUGAUUAUUGAAUUUCGAACCAGCUUUGUAUACCUGGGGUAAAUUCCACCUGGUCAUGGUACAUAACUCUUUCCACACAUUGGCAUCUAUGCUCAUGAUGGCCUCUGUCAAUAGUUUUUUUUAAUUGUCUUAUUUUAGUAUUAAUACAAUGGGAAUAUUUUCUAACUUAUUCUAUGGGGCCAGCAUUGUUCCAGUUCCAUAGAUUGAGUUAGAAAAUAUUCCCAUGACUUCUGUCAUUGGAACGACAGAUUGUAGAUAAUUGGUCUAAUUUAUUCCUUAAAUGGUAGAAUUAACUGAUGAAUUGGUAGAAUUCACCAACGAACCUAUCUUCACCUGGUACUUUCAGUUUUGGAAGUUUAUUAAUUGUUGAUCUAAUUUUUAAUAAAUAUAGGCCUAUUCAGAUUGUCAAUUUCUUCCUGUGUAACUUUUGUCAGAUUGUGUCUUUCAAGAAAUUAGUUUAUUUUGUCUAGGUAAUCAAAUUGGUGGGCAUAGACUUAUUCAUAAUAUUCCUUAUUAUCUUUUUAAUGUCCAUGAUCUGUAGUAAUAUGUCCUCUUUCAUUUCUGGUUUUAGUAAUUUGUCUCUUCCUUUUUUUUUCCUUAGCCUGGCUAGAGGUUUAUUGAUUUUAUUGAUAUUUUAAAGGAAUAGCUUUUGGUUUUAUGGUAUUUUCUAUUGAUUUAUUUUUGAUUUAAUUUAUUUCUCCUCUAAUUUUUAUAAUUUAUUUUAUUCUGCUUACUUUGAAUUUAAUUUGGUCUUCCAUUUUCUAGUUUCCUAAGGUGAAAGUUUACAUAAUUGAUUUUAGAUCUCUCUUCUUUUCUAAUAUGUGAAUUCAGUGCUAUAAAUUUUCCUGUGAGCAUGCUGUUGCUGCAUCCCAUAAAUAUUGAUGUUAUAUUAUAAUUUUCAUUUAGUUAAAAUAUGUUUAAAUUUUUCUUGAAAUAUCUUCUUUGACUCAUGUGUUAUUUAGAAGUGUGUUGUUUAAUCUCCAAUAAUUUGUGAUUUUACACCUAUCUUUCUGUUAUUGAUUGCUAGUUUAAUUCCAUUAUUACCUCAGAACAGAUGUUGUAUGAUUUAUAUUCUUUUUAAAAUUUUAAGGUGUGUUUUAUGGCCCAAAAUGUAGUCUGUCUUGGUGACUGUUCCAUUUAAGUUUGAAAAAAAUGUGUAAUCUUCAUUCAACAAUUUCAUUCAGAGACAAGGAAAAAACAUAAAUCAGAUAUUUAGUUCAACAAAAAUAAAGGAAGAACAUCAGAAAUGAAUAAAUGAAGGUGUAUUAGUCUGUUCUCACACUGCUAGUAAAGACAUACCUGAGACUGGGUAAUUUAUAAAGGAAAGAGGUUUAAUUGACUCAUAAUCCCAUAUGGCUGGGGAGGCCUCACAAUCAUGGCAGAAGGAGAAUGAAGAGCAAAGUCAUGUCUUACAUGGCGGCAGGCAAGAGGGAGUGUGCAGGGGAACUCUCUUUAUAAAACCAUCAGAUCUUGUGAUACUUAUUCACUAUCAUGAGAACAACACAGAAAAGAUUCACCCCCAUGAUUCAGUUACCUCCCACCAGGUCCCUCCCAUGACACAUGGGAAUUAUGGAAGCCACAAUUCAAGAUGAGAUUUGGAUGGGUACACAGCCAAACCGUAUCAGAAAGUAAAAUAAAACAUUUUAAUUUUCUUGUUCUCAAUUUAUCUCAAAAAUAACAGUUUGUUCAUACUAAUAACAGCAACAAUAUGUGUGCAUAUAUGCACAUACAUAUAUAUAUGCUUAUGUAUAAGCAAAAUAAAUGACAGCAGUGAUACAAGGGCUAGAAGGGAGGAAUUAGGAAUUUUUGUUAUUAUAAGGUACUUGCUUUGUCUAUGAAGUGUUAUUUGAGUGUGGACUUUUUUUUCUUAUUCUUAAUUAUUAGUUGUUGAAUGAAGUGGCCUAUUGAUGUCAAUUUUAUUCAGUUGAUUGAUGGUACUGUUGAACUGAACUAUGUCCUUACUGAUUGUGUGCCCAGUGGAUCUGUAAAUUUCCAACACAGGAGUGUUAAAGUCUUGAACUAUAAUAGUUGAUUCAUCUGUUUCUCCUCCCAAUUCUAUCAGUUUUGCCUGACAUACUUUGAUGCCCUAAGGAUCAUCAUGCCUUCUCGGGUUAUUGACCUCUUUAUCAUUAUGUAAUGCUCCUCUUUAUUCUUGAUACAUUUUCUUGCUCUGAAGUCUUCUGUGCUUGAAAUUAACAUAACUACUCCUACUUAUAAAAAUUAGCAUGGUAUAACUUUCUCCAUCCCUUUACUUUUAAUCUAUAUGUAUUGUUAUAUUUAAAAUGGGUUUCUUUCAGAAAACAUAUAAUUGAGUCUUGUUUUUGAUCUACUCUCUGACAUUCUGCCUUUUAAUUGGUAUAUUUAGAUCAUUGAUAUUAAGUGAUCAUUAAUAUAACUGAAUUAACAUUUACCAGAUUUGUUACAGUUUUCUAUUUGUUGCCCUUACUCUUUGUUUCUAUUUCUGUCUUUCUUUCUCUGCAUUUUGUGGUUAUAAUUGAACAUUUUAUAUUAUUUCAUUUUGCUCUCCUUUCUUAACAUAUUAAAUAUACUUCUUUUAACUUGUUGUGGUGGUUGCCCUAAUGUUUGCAAUAUAUGUUUACAACUAACCAAAUCCAGACUCAAAUAAUACAUAUUACUUCAUGGGCAGAGCAAAUACCUUAUGAUAGCAAAAUAUUUCUUUUUUUUUAUUAUACUUUAAGUUUUAGGGUACAUGUGCACCAUGUGCAGGUUAGUUACAUAUGUAUACAUGUGACAUGCUGGUGCACUGCACCCACUAAUUCAUCAUCUAAUAUUAGGUAUAUCUCCCAAUGCUAUCCCUCCCCCCUCCCCCCACCCCACAACAGUCCCCAUGUGUGAUGUUCCCCUUCCUGCAUCCAUGUGUUCUCAUUGUUCAAUUCCCACCUAUGAGUGAGAAUAUGUGGUGUUUGGUUUUUUGUUCUUGCGAUAGUUUACUGAGAAUGAUGAUUUCCAAUUUCAUCCAUGUCUGUACAAAGGACAUGAACUCAUCAUUUUUUAUGGCUGCAUAGUAUUCCAUGGUAUAUGUGUGCCACAUUUUCUUAAUCCAGUCUAUCAUUAUUGGACAUUUGGGUUGGUUCCAAGUCUUUGCUAUUGUGAAUAGUGCUGCAGUAAACAUACAUGUGCAUGUGUCUUUAUAGCAGCAUGAUUUAUAGUCCUUUGGGUAUAUACCCAGUAAUGGGAUGGCUGGGUCAAAUGGUAUUUCUAGUUCUAGAUCCCUGAGGAAUUGCCACACUGACUUCCACAAUGGUUGAACUAGUUUACAGUCCCAUCAACAGUGUAAAAGUGUUCCUAUUUCUCCACAUCCUCUCCAGUACCUGUUGUUUCCUGACUUUUUAGUGAUCGCCAUUCUAACUGGUAUGAGAUGAUAUCUCAUUGUGGUUUUGAUUUGCAUUUCUCUGAUGGCCAGUGAUGGUGAGCACUUUUUCAUGUGUUUUUUGGCUGCAUAAAUGUCUUCUUUUGAGAAGUGUCUGUUCAUAUGCUUCACCCACUUUUUGAUGGGGUUGUUUGUUUUUUUCUUGUAAAUUUGUUUGAGUUCAUUGUAGAUUCUGGAUAUUAGCCCUUUGUCAGAUGAGUAGGUUGCGAAAAUUUUCUCCCAUUUUGUGGGUUGCCUGUUCACUCUGAUGGUAGUUUCUUUUGCUGUGCAGAAGCUCUUUAGUUUAAUUAGAUCCCAUUUGUCAAUUCUGGCUUUUGUUGCCAUUACUUUUGGUGUUUUAGACAUGAAGUUCUUGCCCGUGCCUAUGUCCUGAAUGGUAAUGCCUAGGUUUUCUUCUAGGGUUUUUAUGGUUUUAGGUCUAACGUUUAAGUCUUUAAUCCAUCUUGAAUUGAUUUUCAUAUAAGGUGUAAGGAAGGGAUCCAGUUUCAGCUUUCUACAUAUGGCUAGCCAGUUUUCCCAGCACCAUUUAUUAAAUAGGGAAUCCUUUCCCCAUUGCUUGUUUUUCCUCAGGUUUGUCAAAGAUCAGAUAGUUGUAGAUGCAAUAAAAAAUGAUAAAGGGGAUAUCACCACUGAUCCCACAGAAAUACAAACUACCAUCAGAGAAUACUACAAACACCUCUACGCAAAUAAACUAGAAAAUCUAGAAGAAAUGGAUAAAUUCCUCGACACAUACACUCUCGCAAGACCAAACCAGGAAGAAGUUGAAUCUCUGAAUAGACCAAUAACAGGAGCUGAAAUUGUGGCAAUAAUCAAUAGCUUACCAACCAAAAAGAGUCCAGGACCAGAUGGAUUCACAGCCAAAUUCUACCAGAGGUACAAGGAGGAACUGGUACCAUUCCUUCUGAAACUAUUCCAAUCAAUAGAAAAAGAGGGAAUCCUCCCUAACUCAUUUUAUGAGGCCAGCAUCAUCCUGAUACCAAAGCUGGGCAGAGACACAACCAAAAAAGAGAAUUUUAGACCAAUAUCAUUGAUGAACAUUGAUGCAAAAAUCCUCAAUAAAAUACUGGCAAACUGAAUCCAGCAGCACAUCAAAAAGUUUAUCCACCAUGAUCAAGUGGGCUUCAUCCCUGGGAUGCAAGGCUGGUUCAAUAUACACAAAUCAAUAAAUGUAAUCCAGCAUAUAAACAGAACCAAAGACAAAAACCACAUGAUUAUCUCAAUAGAUGCAGAAAAGGCCUUCAACAAAAUUCAACAACCCUUCAUGCUAAAACCUCUCAAUAAAUUAGAUAUUGAUGGGAUGUAUCUCAAAAUAAUAAGAGCUACCUAUGACAAACCCACAGCCAAUAUAAUACUGAAUGGGCAAAAACUGGAAGCAUUCCCUUUGCAAACUGGCACAAGACAGGGAUGCCCUGUCUCACCACUCCUAUUCAACAUAGUGUUGGAAGUUCUGGCUAGGGCAAUUAGGCAAGAGAAGGAAAUAAAGGGUAUUCAAUUAGGAAAAGAGGAAGUCAAAUUGUCCCUGUUUGCAGAUGACAUGAUUGUAUAUCUAGAAAACCCCAUUGUCUCAGGCCAAAAUCUCCUUAAGCUGAUAAGCAACUUCAGCAAAGUCUCAGGAUACAAAAUCAAUGUACAAAAAUCACAGGCAUUCUUAUACACCAAUAACAGACAAACAGAGAGCCAAAUCAUGAGUGAACUCCCAUUCACAAUUGCUUCAAAGAGAAUAAAAUACCUAAGAAUCCAGCUUACAACGGACGUGAAGGACCUCUUCAAGGAGAACUACAAACCACUGCUCAAUGAAAUAAAAGAGGAUACAAAGAAAUGCAAGAACAUUCCACGCUCAUGGGUAGGAAGAAUCAAUAUCGUGAAAAUGGCCAUACUGCCCAAGGUAAUUUGUAGAUUCAAUGCCAUCCCCAUCAAGCUACCAAUGACUUUCUUCACAGAAUUGGAAAAAACUACUUUAAAGUUCAUAUGGAACCAAAAAAGAGCCUGCAUCGUCAAGUCAAUCCUAAGCCAGAAGAACAAAGCUGGAGGCAUCACGCUACCUGACUUCAAACUAUACUACAAGGCUACAGUAACCAAAACAGCAUGGUACUGGUACCAAAACAGAGAUAUAGAUGAAUGGAACAGAACAGAGCCCUCAGAAAUAACGCCACAUAUCUACAACUAUCUGAUCUUUGACAAAUAGCAAAAUAUUUCUAAUUCCUCCCUUGUAGCUCUUGUAUCACUGCUGUCAUUCACUUGCUAGCACAUUAGCAUAUACACAUGCGCAUAUACACACAUUGUUGCUAUUAUUAUUUUGAACAAACUUAUCUGUGAGGUAAAUUGAGAACAAGAAAAAUAAUUUUUUUAUUUUACAUUUGUUUAUUCAUUUCUGAUGCUCUUCCUUUAUUUUUAUUUAUACAAAUUUCUGACGUAUAUUAUUUUCCAUGUCUCCAAAUAACUUAACAUUUCUUGCAAAGCAGGUCUACGGGCAACACAUUACCUCAAUUUUUUUCUUUUGUCUAAAAAAGUCUUUAUUUCUCCUUAAUUUUUGAAGGAUAAUUUUCCACAAUAUAGCAAUCUGGAAUUCUGUAAUUCUAGAAUUAAUGGUGCUUUUUUCCCUCUUGACACUUUAAAUAUUUCGCUCCACUCUCUUCUUGUUUACAUGGUUCCUAAGGAUAAGUCACAUGUGAUUCUUAUCUUUGCUUCUCUAUAGGUAAGGUGUUUCUCCCUCCACUCUGGCUUUCUCUAGAAUUUUUUUCUUUAUCUUAGAUUGUUUGAAAUUUGAGUAUGAUAUGCCUACAUGUAGGAUUUUUUUUUUUACAUUUAUCUUGCUUGAUGUUUUCUGCAAUUCCUGGAUCUAUGAUUUUGUGUCAGCAUUAAUUUGGGGGAAACUCUCAGUCAUUAUUUCUUCAUAUAUUGCUUCCAUUUCUUUCUUUUCCUCUCAUUACCGCUAUUAUGUGUUUGUUACAGCUUUUCUAUUUGUUUUGAAGUUCUUGGAUAUUUUGUUCUGUUUGGAGAUUUCUUUUCCAUCUUUUUUCUCUUUGAUUUUUGGUUUUGGAGGUUUCUAUUGAUACAUCCUCAAGCACCAAGAUUCUUCUUUCACCUACAUCUAGUUUACAAAUAAGUCCAUCAGAGACAUUCUUUAUUUUUGAUACAGUGAUAUUGCUUUGUAGCAUUUUAAAAAUUCUUUCUUAGAAUUUUAAUCUCUCUGCUCAGCUUACAUUAAUCAUCUAUUAUUGCAAGUUGUCUACUUUUUCCAUUAAUGCCCUUAACAUAUUAAUCGUAGUUUUAAAAAAUAUCAUGUUCAGAUAAUUCCAAUAUUCCUGUCAUAUGAAACUCUGUUUCUAAUGCUUCUUCAGUCUAUUCAAACUGUGUGUGUGUGUGUGUGUGUGUGUAUUUGUGUGGUUUGUUAUUUAUUUUACCUUUUAGUAUGCCUUGUAAUUGCCUGUUGAAAUACUGACAUGAUGUACUGUGUAAAAAGAACUUCAGUAAGUAGGCCUUUGCUGGUGUAUUGGUAAGAUGCAGGGGGAGGAGAAGUAUUCUGUACUCCUAUGAUUAAAUCUUAGUUGUUUCAUGAACAUGUAUCCUUGGACUGUGAACUUCAUCAGUUCUUUGUAGAUUUUUCCCCUCUUAAAAUAGGAUGAGGGCUGGCGCGGUGGCUCACGCCUGUAAUCCCAGCACUAUGGGAGGCCGAGAUGGGUGGAUCACGAGGUCAGGAGAUCGAGACCAUCCUGGCUAACACAGUGAAACCCCGUCUCUACUAAAAAAUACAAAAAAUUAGCCAGGCGUGGUGGUGGGCGACUGUAGUCCCAACUACUCGGGAGGCUGAGGCAGGAGAAUGGCGUGAACCCGCAAGGCGGAGCUUGCAGUGAGCUGAGAUCGCGCCACUGCACUGCAGCCUGGGUGACAGAGUGAGACUCUGUCUCAAAAAAACAAACAAACAAAAAAUAGGUUGAAUAAAGGGGGCUGGAAUUGGAUAUUUCCUUUCUCCUAUGUCAGUUAGGCUCUGAGAAAACUCCAGCAGUUAGGUUCUGUUACAGAAUAGUUUCUUUUAAGGGUAGGCCCUGGAAAAAGGAACACAGUGUUUUGUCAUACAGCUCGGGUUUUACAACCUUGGCACUUGUUCCUGUAGAGGUUUCUGCUCCAAUAAAUUGUGUUUUUCUCUAUUUACUUGUCUGCCUCUACAGUUUUGGGGGAGUGGUUUUCCCUGUGAACUUCCUCUCUGACAAAUCUAAGAAGAAUUGUUUCUGUUAUUGUUUUUUAUUUUUUUUCAGUUUGUUUAACUUUCUACUUGUUAGAAUGGAGUGGUGAAUUCGAAGCUUCUUACUUGUAGUACCAAAACCAGAGGUCCCUUUUCCCUCUUUGGUUCACAAAACUCUCCUUUGCUGUUCUUAUGGGUAAUGAGUCAGGGCUUUGUCUCCCCACAGUUACCAGGAUUAUUCCUGCAACGUCUACAGGAACAGUGCCUCUGGGGAGAGGAAGGGGUCUUGUCUCUUUGCUGGCAGUUGCCUAACACAUGCCAGGGUAAGUCAACAGCGACCCACUCUCAGGAGCAGCAUGGCUGCUGCUGCAGAGAGCAAGUGGCACUGAUCCUUUCUGGGUUCUCUUGGUUUAGGGUAGGAGAGUACCCAGGGCUCCCUCCUGUAGGAUGUGUUGUACAGCUAGUGUGGAGAAGGGAAGGGGCACACCUUAAUUGCUGACAUUUACUUGGUGUAAGGUGUGGAGAGGUAACAAAUUUUCUGCAGCUCUGUAGAGAGAGGGGUGGGCCCUGCUUCUUCGUUGUCACUUAUCUGAAGUAGGGAGGACAAAACCUGUUUUAUGACUCCCCUACUUGUUUUCCUGGGCCUCUGACCAGACACAGCAGGCUCUUAGGGCUUUUUCUGUCUGUACUCAUUGUCAGUUACACAUGCUGAGCUGCUUUAGUCCUCGGGCCAGAUUAUACAGAAAGUAAAGCAAACAAAUGAACAAAAAUAACAAAAUCCCCAAACUUCCAAAUGACAGUGAACUCAUCACCAAGUUGUAUUUCAAGUUCUUAUGUUCUGACUGAGUCUACCAAUAUAUAUUUUAGCCCAGAGUUUUUCAUUGUUAUUGUGGAAGAUAUAAGUUACUUCAUUUUUUUCUAGAAGCAAACCCCAGAAUAGUUUUUAAACUGAAUGGAGCAAACAAACUACAAUUUGAAUGAAAGAAAAUGUUUAAAGUAACAUGAUUAACAAUUCACUGUGAUCAGAGUAUGCAGAGUCAAAGUUUUAUUUCCUCUUUCUCUAAUUAAAAGAGGAUCAGAAAAAAUAGCUAUUGGGUACUAGGCUUAGUACCUGGGUGAUGAAAUAAUCUGUACAACAGACUCCUGUGACAUGAGUUUAUUUCUAUAGCAAACGUGCUUAUGUACCCCCGAAUCUAAAAGUUAAAAAAAUUAAAAAUUAAAAAAGUUUGUACCUAUCUUCAGUUCAAACUUAACAGCUUAAUACUUCUUGUCAUGUUGGGAUGUGUUUCUUAAAUGUGAUUUUUUUUGAGUAAAAGGAAGGAACUUUAUAUUUUAGAACAUUUCACCUUUGUGUGCUAUUAUAAUAUUAUCUUGUUUUUAAACGACUCUAAAUUUUGUGAUAACCUGAAAUUGAAAUUUUUACUUCAUGUCUUUUGGUGUGUUGGCAAAAGAUGGUUCUGGUUGCAUGAACUUUUAAUUUCCUCCUUCUAAGAGAUUACUUCCAAUAUUCACCUGCAUUUCCGGCAGACUCAGUCAAUCAAAAUAUGAAAAUUUUGUAUGCAUAGUUAUUAUUAUUAGUCAAAAACCUUAGUCUUUUUUUGUUUUUAGAAUGAAAAGAGGAGUAUCAACCUAUUCAAAGAUAUGUUGUGUUUUAAUGCUUCUACUGAAAUCCUUCUCACUGUAUGUAACAGCAGAAUGAGAUAGGCAGAAAAUAGGCAGUUAAAAUGGAAAAAGAGAAAAACAUGCUAGAAUUAUUGGCAUCUAACAGAAACUUUGUCACUGGGUCUUGGAGUAUUUAGGGUGCAUAACAGGAAACCAUUCAGACCUUAAAUCUUUAAGUUAACUUCUCUCUAUAUAUGAAUUAAAUGACUAAGUUUUUAUUAAGUAUUUAUAUUUGAUAAGAAAAUUCUAUCUCAGUUUAAAUCAGAUUUGUCUUCUCUGUCUUUGAAAUCUCUUAGAGAAUUGUGAACUGAUACUUUAUACUGACUUUUUACUAGCUCCUAGCAAUAUUGCUUAGCAAAUUGAUUAUUUCCUUCUGAAAUGUUUGAUGAUGUAUCCAGCUCUUAUUAAAGUGCCCAAACCUUACUAUUUAACUACUUGACAAGGGUUGCCAGUGGUGAAUACCAUAUUCCACUUUAACUUUUUGGAAUAGGAAUUGAGGUCUUAAUCCAAUGAAAGUUUUAUUUGUAGAAAAAAAUAGACUGAAUAUUGUUUUUAAGUACAGUAAAAAUAUCUACACUUUUCCAGUUUCCCUAAGUAAACAUUUUAUGAGUAAUUAUUAGAAAGACAAAAAAGUGUGUAAGUUAUUGUUAGAAAGUCAUUCAUGCUUGCAAGGAUGUAGAGAAAAGGGAACUCAUACACGGUUAGUAGGAAUGUAAAUUAGUACAGCCGUUAUGGAAAAUAGCAUGGAGAUUUUUCGAAAAACUAAAAGUAGAACUACCAUAAGGUCUUGCAAUCCCACUACUGGGUAUUUAUCCAAAGGAAAAUAAAUUAGUAUGUCAAAGGGCUACAUUUACCCCCAUGUUUGUUGCAGCAGUGCUCAAGUAGCAAAGAUAUAGAAUCAACCUAAGCGAUCAUCAACAGAUGAAUGAAGAAAUAAAAUAUGGUAAAUGUGCAUAAUAGAAUAAUACUUGGCCAUAAAGAAAUAAUAAAAUCCUGCCAUUUGCAGCUAUUUGGAUGGAACUGGAUUUCAUUAUGUUAAGUGAAAGGAUCCAGGCACAGAAAGACAAUAUCUAUCCUCAUUCAUAUAUGGGAUCUGGGAUAGUUUAUCUUACAGAAACAGAGAGUAGAAUGAUACCAGAGGCUGAGAAGGGUAUGUGUGUGUCAAGUGGUGAAAGGACAUGAAAAGAGAUCGGUUAAUGGGUACAAAUAAACAGUUAGAUAGAAGGAAUAAGUUCUAAUAUUCAGUAGCAAAGUAGAGUGUCUAUAGUUAAUAACAAUGUAUAGUUCAAAAUAGCUAGAAAUUAGGACUUGGAACGUUUUCAACACACAGAAAUGAUAAAUACUCGAAGUGAUGGAUACCUUAAGUACCCUGAAUUGAUCAUUACACACUCUAUGCAUGUAACAAAAUAUCACAUGUACCCUAUAAAUAUGUACAAAUAUUUGUACCAAUAAAUUUAUAAAAAGAAUUUCGAGUACAAAAAAACCGUAAAAUUUAUAUUACCUAAAUCAAGCAGAUAUUCUAUUAAAAUUAUUACACCAAAAAUAUUUCAGGGAACUCUAUUUUCUUUUCUGUUCUCAUCAUAAGAAAAUGGAGCUCUAGAAUAGCUUUUUAUCAAUUUAAGAGGACAGUAUCCUUGCAGAUCCAAGUAAAAAUGAGGGCCUUCUUUAACUAUUAAGUAAUAAUCAAGUCUAUUUUUAAAGUGUUGAUUAGUUUUUGAAAGCCCAGCAUUGAGCUAGACAUUUAGGAAACUUUGAUGGAGGUUAAGGAGUUCUUAGAAAAAUUGUGUCUAAAAUCUGCUAGUUCUGCACUUGUAAGCUAAAAUUUGCAGAAGCUAAUAUGAUUGUUCUUGCUCAGUUCUCUUUGACUGCUGUGGCUUUUCAUGUGAAGAAACCUUCAGGCGUUUUCAUACAAAGAAAUGUACAGGAAACAAAUUGGGCUCUCUAAUUUCACUCUUUCACUUGUAGCUUAAGUGUAGGUUUCUUAAAUAAUCCCACUAAUAUUUGUGGGAACUUGGAAAUCUGGUGUUAACAUACUGUCUUUAAAGCCUACUCAGGACACGGUUCACAUGCCUUUUGCCUUUUUGAGGGUUGUUCUAACCAAAGUGUCACUAUUUGUUUUCCAAGGUAGCUAUUUUGUUUGCUAUUUUAGGAAUGAUUCUUCAACAUUGAAUAUAUUUCCAUAAAGUGACUGUGUAUCCAGCUAAGAUGCCUUGCCAUUUCAAUUCUACCAAGCAUUAAAUGACUAUUGGAUUUAAGUAGUUGCAACAUUGCUGAAUAGUUCCUGAGUAUUCACAUGAAUAUUGAUGAGUAUCUGGAAUCUCUCUGACAAGUUUCCUAGAUUACUUCAGUGUCAGAGGAAAUUUUUAAAAAUCUGUCUUCUUCGAACCAUUGCAUAGACAAUAUUGCACUGCAAACUGGCUCCUCCCAUCUUAUGAGGGUGUUUGAUUUGAACUGAUUUUUUAAAUUAAGAUUCUUAAAAAUGUAAUUGAAAAACCUGUGUAGGUCAGCUCAGUGAAAUCUUAAAAUAUUUUAAAUUCAUUAAAAUCUAUGCAAAAUUGGCAAUACCUAAGAAACAACAGAUGACAGGAAUUUACUAGUCCUAAUCUCAUAACAUUUAUAUACUCAAUUGUGGUGAGACUAUUGCCUUUUAAGUUCCAUGACUUUUUUAGGUACUUAAAUGCCAGUUAAUCACAGAUGCUUCGUAGAUUUUAUUUGGAGGGAAUGCAUUAAUGUGGUUUUUGAUAUUUUUCCCCCCAUAGGACAUUUGGUUGGCUUCUGUCCCUUGAAUGUUGCCAAGACAUAUUUCAACGCUUUCCCUUUUAAUGAUUCAGUUGUUGAAAUCAUCACUUGGCAUGCAAAUAAUAUUUAUGGGGCCAACAUAAAAAGCUACCACCCUUCCUUUAUGGCAUUUUAAAAACUGAUAGAUGAAUAAUAUUUGAUUUCACUCAGAUAUGACACAUAAUUCUUGAAAAUGAUUUUGCGUCUCAUAAUUUUUAAGAAUUUAUCUGCAGUAGGCAAAAAUGGGAAACUGUAAUAUUAUAUUAUAGGAAAUGUUGUAUAUUUCUUCCGAUUUUAAAAUACUCCUUGCUUUUAUAGAAAAACAAUCAACAUUUUCCCAUCCGCUUCUAAAAGCACUAAGACUAAGGACAAAAACUUAGUAAAAUUUAAAAUAACAAAGUGAAAGAGUGGCAGACUAGAUGUUUUGACAUUAAAUUUAGUUAAAACUCUAGUCAUAUUGGUUAGGUGACAAAAUAUGUGGGUGAUUUAUUUUUUAACAGUGAUUUGAACAGAUACCUUGGCAUUUUAGGAACUCAGGUACAGAGAGUCAUGGCACCAAUAAACACUAAUAAUUUUUGACGAUUAAAACUCUGGUUAGCCAAGAAAAAGAGAUGUUCUUCACUCAUUAAGGGAAUACCAAGUCAGAAUUCAUAGCAUCUAACUUUCCAAGUCUAUAUCCUAUCUGGUACAGCAAAGUAUUAUUUUUCAUGACUAAUGACUGACUACAGUAAGUACUAAAACAUAUAUCUGGCAGUAAAAGUUGUCUCUCUGAUCUCACCACAUCUUUUUAUUCUUACUAUCACGACCUUAACCUACUGUAGUAUCCUUUCAGGUGGUUUUCCUAUAUAAGCUGUGUCACCCACUCUCAACAAUUCUUUAUUUAUUUUCCACGAUGAAACUAAAAUAAGUCUGUGCUUUUCAGAAUCCACUCUGAAGUGAAAGAAGCUAAUCUGAAAAGGCUACAUACUGAGUGAUUCCAAUUAUAACAUUCUGGAAAAGGACCUUGAAGACAAUAUAAAGAUCCAUGGUUGCCAAGGGUUAGGGGAAAGGGAAGGGAUGAAUGAGCAGAGCACAGGGAGUAUUUGGAUAGAUACCAGCUUUGUGAACUUAAAGCAAGCAGUAUGAAUAUAGUUCUUCAACAGUGGGGAUUAUCUGAUGUCAGGGCUUCU